UCUCACUUUACCGCCCUUGGUAGAGUGCCAUGAUAUCACAGGACUCACAGCAACCUCCAGCUCUUGGGCUUCCGCGAUUCUCUCGCCUCAGCCUCCAGAGCAGCUGGGACUACAGGCGCCCGCCACAACACCCGGCUAUUUUUUUUGUUGCAGUUUGGCCAGGGCUGGGUUUGAACCCGCCACCCUCGGCAUAUGGGGCCGGCACCCUACCCACUGAGCCACAGGUGCUGCCCGACCUUCAUGGUUUUGAGAUAUGUCCACAUUGAGUUAUAGAGAUCUAGUUCCUUGCUUGCAGAGUGCUAUGGUAUAAUAUAUGGUUUUUUAAUAUUGAGUACUUUGACGGACAUUAGGUUGUUUUCAUUAGAGUGUUAAUGCUACCAUAAACACUCUCGUACUUAUCUCUUCAUGUGCAUGUAUUUCUCCAAGGUUAAUAUCUGAAAGGAGAAAUUCUCAGUCAUAGUAUAAUCACGUUUUAAAUUUUGAUAGAUAUUCCAAAAGAGUUGAUCUCAAUUUCUACUUUUAGCAACAAUGUAUGAGCAAAACUAUUUCUCCACAUUCCCCCUUAAACAGUCAAGCUUCCAUUUAGCUCUCGAGCUGCUAUUUAUAACAAUAAUAAUACUUCCUUUGGAUUGUGCAUAACAUCCUUGUCCCAUUUUUUUGAGCUCAUUUUGAUGUAUUAGUGGAUGAGCUUGUGUCAGCUAUUGUCACUAUGAAUCAGUGACCAAUUGGCCAUAUACAGAGUGUGUGUAAAUGUCUAUUUUUAUGAGACAGAGUCUCACUCUGUGCCCUGGGUGGAGUGUUGUGGCAGCAUAGCUCACAGCAAUCUUAAACUCUUGGGCUCCAGCGAUCCUCCUGCCUAAGCCUCCUGAGUAGCUGGGAAUACAGGUGCCUGUAAAAACAGCUGCAAUACAGGUGCCUAGCUAGUUUUUAUAUUUUUAGUAGAGACGGAGUCUCACUCUUGUUCAAUCUGGCCUCAAACUCCUGAGCUCAAGGGAUCCGCCCAUUUCCACCUCCCAGAGUGCUAGUUUUACAGGCAUACGCCACUGCACCCUGCCUCGUGUGUAUAUAUACAUAUAUAUACAUAAUGGUGUGUAUGUACACACACGUAUGUGUGUAUGUAUCUAUACACACACACAUAUGCUUAGCAACAAUCAUAAUUAGGAGGCUGUUAUAAAGAUGAUUGUAAAAGUAGAUUGAGGCUGGAAAACUAAAAACAAUUUAAGUCACCAAAUCACAUUGUCAGCAUUUCUCCUGGGUCUCCCUUAGGAAGGCUUCAUGGAAAGAGAACUAGAUUAGAAGCCUAGGCUUUUACUAGAGGAAUAAAGUAGCUCUGAGCCCUAUGAUGUGUUGACAGCAUCCUCAAUAAAAACUUAGCUUCACUGACUUUUCCACACAUUUCAGUUCUGCACCUCAUGUUUAAAAGCGUAAGCUGGCCAGGCACGGUGGCUCACACCUCUAAUCCCAGAACGUUGGGAAGGUUGCUUGAGGCCAGGGAUUUAAAACCAGCCUGGGCACCAUAGCAAGUUGGCAUCGCCAUAAAAAAUAAAAAAUUUAGCCAGGGAUGGUGGUGCAUGGCUAUAGUCUCAGCUACUUGAGAGGAUGAGGUGGGAGGAUUGUUUGAGUCCAGGAGCUUGAGGUUGCAGUAAGCUAUGAGAGCUGUCACUGCACUGUAGCCUGGGUGACAGAGAGAGAAUCUAUCUCGAAAGAAAGAAAAGAAAAGAAAAGAAAAGAA